GACGAACGCUGGCGGCGUGCUUAACACAUGCAAGUCGAACGAUGAAGCUAGAGCUUGCUCUGGUGAAUUAGUGGCGAACGGGUGAGUAACACGUGAGUAACCUGCCCCGAACUCUGGGAUAACUGCUGGAAACGGUAGCUAAUACUGGAUACGACCUACGAAGGCAUCUUCUGUAGGUGGAAAGAAUUUCGGUUCGGGAUGGACUCGCGGCCUAUCAGCUUGUUGGUGAGGUAAUGGCUCACCAAGGCGACGACGGGUAGCCGGCCUGAGAGGGUCACCGGCCAGACUGGGACUGAGACACGGCCCAGACUCCUACAGGAGGCAGCAGUGGGGAAUAUUGCACAAUGGGCGCAAGCCUGAUGCAGCAACGCCGCGUGAGGGAUGACGGCCUUCGGGUUGUAAACCUCUUUUAGUAGGGAAGAAGCGAAAGUGACGGUACCUGCAGAAAAAGCACCGGCUAACUACGUGCCAGCCGCCGCGGUAA
rnacentral:rRNA from 1 species